AUGAAUGAUGUCAGGAGCGCGCAGGGCGGCGGGCGGGGAGAGCGGGCAGCCGGGCCGCGGGGCCGCGGUAAACACCGAGCGCCGUGCCGCGGGCUGAGCUGGGCGGGGAGACCCCGCCCUCGGCCGCACGGAGCCGUCCGCGGCCGCCCGAGCCUGGCCGGUACUGCAGCGCCGCUGAAAGCGGCCUCGAAGGCGGCAGCCGCGGGAGGGACCCGGAGAGCAGCUUCCCUGGCGGGGCCGAGGCACGAGAGGGCGAGACCCCGAGUAAACUUUCCAGCGGCUUCGGCCGGGGGCAUCUGCGGCGGCGGCGGCUGCGGGCUCCGUCCCCUGGCAGAUCCCGGCGGGGGAGCGAGUGCCUUGCGCUGGGAAGGUCUGGAGCCCCAGCUGAGAGCGGUGCCACCCUCCUUUGCCCCUGCCACUCUUCGCAGAAAAGAUCUGUUCCAGAACUGAGUGUUGACUGCUGCAGGGACUACGGUGGGGUUUGCUGUGCUCCC
rnacentral:lncRNA from 1 species